rnacentral:rRNA from 1 species
AUUGAACGCUGGCGGCAGGCCUAACACAUGCAAGUCGAACGAGUGGCGGACGGGUGAGUAAUGUCUGGCUAACCUCCCGAUGGAGGGGGAUAACUACUGGAAACGGUAGCCAAUACCGCAUUCCAACGGAUGUGCCCAGAUGGGAUUAGCUAGUCGGUGGGGUAACGGCUAACCUAGGCGACGAUCCCUAGCUGGUCUGAGAGGAUGACCAGCCACACUGGAGAUGGGAGACGGACCAACAUCCGAAGUGAGGCACCAUCGGGGAAUAUUGCGCAAGGGGCGCUAGCCUGAUGCGGCCAAGCCGCGAGUAUGAAGAAGGCCUUCGGGUUGUGAAGUACGUUCAGCGAGGGAGCGUUACUCACCGAAGAAGCACCGGCUAACUCCGUGCCAGCAGCCGCGGUAAUUC